CCUACGGGGGGCACCAGUGGGGAAUAUUGCACAAUGGGCGCAAGCCUGAUGCAGCCAUGCCGCGUGUAUGAAGAAGGCCUUCGGGUUGUAAAGUACUUUCAGCGAGGAGGAAGGCAUUAAGGUUAAUGACCUUGGUGAUUGACGUUACUCGCAGAAGAAGCACCGGCUAACUCCGUGCCAGCAGCCGCGGUAAUACGGAGGGUGCAAGCGUUAAUCGGAAUUACUGGGCGUAAAGCGCACGCAGGCGGUCUGUCAAGUCGGAUGUGAAAUCCCCGGGCUCAACCUGGGAACUGCAUUCGAAACUGGCAGGCUAGAGUCUUGUAGAGGGGGGUAGAAUUCCAGGUGUAGCGGUGAAAUGCGUAGAGAUCUGGAGGAAUACCGGUGGCGAAGGCGGCCCCCUGGACAAAGACUGACGCUCAGGUGCGAAAGCGUGGGGAGCAAACAGGAUUAGAUACCCCCGUAGUC
rnacentral:rRNA from 1 species